AACGAACGCUGGCGGCAUGCCUAACACAUGCAAGUCGAACGAGACCUUCGGGUCUAGUGGCGCACGGGUGCGUAACGCGUGGGAACCUGCCCUUAGGUUCGGAAUAACUCCCCGAAAGGGGUGCUAAUACCGGAUAAUGUCUUCGGACCAAAGAUUUAUCGCCUUUGGAUGGGCCCGCGUUGGAUUAGCUAGUUGGUAGGGUAAAAGCCUACCAAGGCGACGAUCCAUAGCUGGUCUGAGAGGAUGAUCAGCCACACUGGGACUGAGACACGGCCCAGACGCCUACGGGAGGCAGCAGUGCGGAAUAUGGGACGAGGGGCGUAGGUCUGAUCGAGCAAUGCAGCGGGAGUGAUAAAGGCAUUAGGGUUGGAAAGCUCUCUUGACCGGGGCGAUCAUGAAGGUGCAGGGAGAAUAAGAACCGGCUAACUCCGUG
rnacentral:rRNA from 1 species